AGAUGUAUCUAACGGCCUAAAACAUACCUAUGCUGACAUGGCUCUUUUUUUUUUUUUUCGUGAUCGUCUUUGAAUCAGAAGAUCAGCAUGGCCCCCAACGCUGCUCUCUCUCUCGCUCUCUCUCUUUCCGGCCGGCCGUUCUUUCACCGGCAGCAUCUCCACCGCGAGCUCCGUUCCCCCAACUCAGCCAGCCGCAUCUCUCUGAUUUCCGCCUCCACCGUUGACGGAACCAAGGGGGAAGAGCAGGUUCCGAAUAGCGUGAUGUUUGAUUUGCUUUAUGUACAUCAUGCUCAUCCUUUGGCUUCACAAGUUUUCCAUUAUUAUCGAAUAUGUUUCAAUUUACCCCCACAUGUGAAAUUUUUUUUGUGGAUCAAUAGAAGCACCCAGCUGCAAAUGGUGGAAUGCAUAAUAGACAACAAGAACUGCAUCUUCUGAAAUAUGUGAUAAGCAGGUGAAGAAGGUUUAUCAGGUUAAAACUCGCAGCCCCCAUGAUAUCUCAGAUUCUGGAACACAUUAGUAUAAUUAGCAUCAACAGCAAAAUCCAAUUUCUACCAAGUAGAGGUGGCUCAAAGGCAUGGAUGUUAACCAACUUGAUCAUGAACCGUGUCAACAAACUUCACAAUGCACGCAGGCUUGUGAUAAUGAAGAGGAUAAGGCAUAGAACAUCACCAAUAACAGACUUGAAGAUAGACAUGUCUCUCUAACGUAGCUGAUAUGUACAGAUUUGAAUUGUUCUUAUUUUAGCUGAUAGACUUAGCUUGUCAUCAUCUAUAAUUAUCUAUACUGUACGUUGAUAUAUAUUGAGAUGAAUAUGGUAUGCA